rnacentral:lncRNA from 1 species
AUCCCAGGCCUCACUCAGUGGGUUAAGGAUCCGGUGUUGCCGUGAGCUGUGGUGUAGGUCACAGCUGCGGCUCAGAUCCCUCACUUUACUGUGGCUGUGGUGUAGGCCGGCGGCUACAGCUCCGAUUAGACCCCUAGCCUGGGAACUUCCAUAUGCUGCAGCUGCAGCCCUAAAAAGACUAAAUAAAAAAAUAAGUAAAUAAAGCAUUUGUUGGUACCGGCAAUCGUUUCAUUUAUUUGUUUAGUAUCUGUCUCACCUGAACCUCCGUGAGGACCAGGGCAUCCUCUCUCCUGGAGGCCUGGCACUUUGUGGAGCGAGUGACUGCUCUCACCGGUGGCCCUCCGUGGCCCUCCCCAUCUUCUGGUGAUGGCAGCAGCACCCCCACCCACCUCUUCCAGCUGACUGACGCCCAGGCUGCCCAGGGCUCCCCAGGAAACCCAGUGGGGACAGAGGGGAGAGGCCUGAACUCACCCCCAGAAAGCCUAGGAGGUCACAGGAGAUGACAGCUUUUUUCCUUGUUAUCACCUCAUUAUGUGUCAGGCCUUGGCCUCCUGCCAGAAAUAACAAGAUGAAAAAGUCUAUCACAUCAGCUUCUUUUAGUCCUCGUCUCUCUGUGAUUCCUCAAUUGAUGAUUAUUUAUUUUCUAUAAUAAUCUUGUUAAUUUUGGGGGAGAAUCAUCUUCUGUGUUUAUGAGCGGAAAUGCCAGGAGCAGGUGAAUACCGUUAGAGAAAGCCACGCAGGCCUGGGCCAGCUGCUGUGGAGGUGGAUUGUGGUGAGGAGGUGCCCUUUGGGGGAUGCGCUAGAGCAUCCAGUUCUUUUUGGAAAGAAGUUCUUCCGUGGAGAGGAGCGGGGAGCUCGGGGGCGGCCCCAAGCAGCUGAGUUCCAUCCGGCUUCUCACAGAAUUACCAUCACCAGUGUCAUCGCCCCACCACCAUCGCCACCUGUGUUUACCAAAAGGGUCUGCUCCACACCAGGUCCUCUAUGAAAGUGCCCUGCCCACAAGACCUUCUAGAAAUAGCACUCCGCGGCCAAAAUGCUUUUGUCAGACUGCGAUAAACCAGCACAAGUUAUGAAAAUAUAGGUGCCGACAGAGCCCAUGGGUGACCCGCCACACAGACAGCCAAUAGCCAAGAACCUUAGUGACAAAUGCUAAGACUUCCACGGCAGCUGGGGCAGCGUCUGCAUCUGACCGGAAGUUGCGGCUCUAGACUGCAUGGGGCUUGGGAGCCUCAGCUUCUCCCUGCAGAGCUGGGGAGCAGCCCGGAUGCCUCUGCUCCAGGCUGGGCCGAGGCUCGAGGGCAGUGGCUGCUCCCAGGUGGCUUUUUCUCACAGUGAUGGUAAAAGUGCAAGAAAUCAAGUGAGAAUAGGCGAGCCCGCCAGGAACCAUCACCUCAUUCCCCCAGGUGCCUCCCAGCUGAAGCGAGUCUCGAGUCUUGAGUCUCAUUGGGCAAGCCCAGAGCCCCAGAGGCAGGGACGCCUGGCUCAUUGUCACAUCAUUGAGGACACAUGGUGGUUUGUGACACAAUAAGUGUGGCAAUGAAACCUGACUCUGUCUCUCCCCCUCCAGGGGGUGGCACCCCCCACCUGCUGUGAAGCCAGGUCAGGGUGAGGGUGUGGUGAGGAGCAGGGGCCAGGAGGGAGAGGGGCCAGAAGGGGUGGACAGCAGGGGCCCCAGGCAGCCAGAUGGGGCAGCCACAUGCCACAGCCCUGUCCCUAAGGGCUCAAUUUCUGUUUCUGUUGACUGCCAGCUUUGUGACCUUGGACGAGCCACUUAACCUCUCCAAGCUUCAGUGCCAAAUACUAAAAUCAGGAUAAUAACAGUCCUAGAGAAGCAGAGAAGAAUUAGCUUGAGUAAGCCCUGGCCCAUCCCAGGGCAGGGGCUCAGGAAAUGACAGUCUCGUCACCCUCUGGCUCUGCCCUGCGUGGUGGGGACUUGGGUGGGAAAGUAAGCAGCUGUGAUUCUCACUGAAGAGAUGGUUGCAACAGAGGGUCAAGCAAAGAGCAUGUAAACGAGGAAGGGAGGGAACCGCCCAGGUAGGAGGCAAGCCCCCAACAGGGCGUGGCUUCCGGAAGGCACAGGUGUUUCGGCUUCUGGAUGGAAUCCAUGUGGUUCCUGCAGAGGGAACAGAAGGGCCCGCGGGAAGCUGGUGGAGUCGAUGGGGCCAUGUGUUCCUUCACACCACGCGUCCCAUCGGGGCUCUGGGCCUGCCUGGGCCAGAGGAAGGGAGUCUCUGAGGGUCCCUCCAUUAGGAGCCUGGAAACUGGCCCAGACUGGGUCACGUGCCUGCUCCUAGCCAAUCACCACAUGGGACGUUAGCAAGCUCCUUGGCCUUGGGCCAAUCAGGGUGUGGCCUUGGCCCCUGAGGUCCGUCUGGUCCCGGCAGCCCUUGAUACCAGACUCGGCAAGAGGGCCUGAUGCCCGAAGGCGGCGGCCCGCUGUGCCCCGGGAUGCAGGGACUGCCAGCCCCACAUAAGUCAUUCUAAAGGAUCCCAAACUGAAGAUGCCUCCCCUUCACUGGAUCUUCUCGGAGCCCAGUACUGGGCGCGGGUGAGAGUGGGCGGCAGGCGCGAGGUGGGGGUGGUUUUUUGAAGCACUGGAACAGCACAGCCCGUGCGCACACGGACACACACACACACAUACCCACACGCGCGCAUGAAAUUGGCAGGACGUAGCAGAGACUCUGACAAAUGGCGCAAACUUCCUGUGGAAGUGGCGAGGACUUCCCCACCCCCAAUCGGAGAGAACCUUGUGAAAUUCUUGCUUCGAGGUAAAUCGCUCAGACCUGUGGAAUCCUUUCGGCUGUCCUGUGUCAUUGGAGACCCUUCUGGUUUUAAUCCUGGGCCCCAGAGGCCCGGGUCCUAGUAUGAGGAACAACAUGGGAUGUUCAUCUUGAUGAAUUGUUUUACUUAGGCUGUGGCUGCAGGGACUUUGAUGAGGGCUGUCAGUUCCCACACCAGGGAUUGAACCAGGGCUGCAGUGAUGAACGUGCUGAGUCCUAACCAGGGAACUCCUGAGCCAUUUGUCUGUAGAGUUUGAUAUUCCAGUCGACUCUAAAUUGAGCCACCCGUCUCGCACCAGAUUAUGCCCUAGAACUGGUUUAAUGAUGACAUUAUUCAUUUGACAACAAGCAAUUGCAUGUUAUUUUUUGCCUUGACCUAAAGAGAUCUUCUAGCCAGAUAAGUGGUAUUUUACAUUUGGAGCAAUUAUUGCUGUAAUCACAGAGUCGUUGCCAUUAGAAAGGUGAUAUUCCGGGGAGAGUGUGGGAGGUGCCUGGACCCUGGGUUCCAGAAUCCACAGGUGUGAGCCAAAUCGGAAUUUUUAAUCAGCCCCCUCGCCUCUCUGUUGGCUUUUUGAAAGUAAAAUUAUCUUUAGGUAUCAUAUCCUCAUUUGGUUGGAGUCUUCCAAAAACUGGCUUCUGUAUAUUUAAGGCUAACUUGUCGUUUGGGUGAUUUUGAAUCUUUGGCUUAAGGAACGUAGUGGGGGAAAAAAUCACAGUGACACAUCACAGGAGCAAAAAUUGCAAUGUCUUUCUCUACAGUUAAACUUAAUUUUUAUCCUGAACCUCAUUUCUAUCUAAUGGCAGAAAACCUAGUUUAGGUAAAUUACAGAUGACACGAGGACAAUUUCAGGAUCUGGCAGCUAUUUUGUGCUUAAGAUAAGUUAAAAUCAGGAUUUUCCCCUUUCCCUUGAUGGCUGUUUGGCAGGUGGUGGCUUCCAUGGUGUGGUGGAUUGCAAGAGUCGCCCAGUUUCCCCCCUCCCUGCAUCAGAAAUGCCCUUCCCCACAGAACUGUCUGGUGCCUGGGCACACUGACUCUGGCCUUGAACGUGUGACGUGCUUUGACCAAUGAGAUCUUAGCAAAUGAGAAGCAAUUAGAGGCUCCAGAAGCACCUGUGUGAUCACACGUUCCUGACCUUUCCCUCUGCCGUUGCCAAGAGAUGGGAAUGCCACCCUGGUCUGAGGAUGCCGGGAGGAGAGUGGGCACGUGGCAGAGCACGUGGCAGGUGAGCUGGAGCCCGCAGCCCCUGGGGCUGCCCACCACCCAGGCCUAUUCUGUAGCGUUUUAGUGGCAGCAGUGAAGGGUGACAGGGGGGAUUAGGGCAGGUGUCUGCCUCACUUGCAGUAGCAUUUGCGGAGGCGUGAGGUCUUCCUCUCAGCUUUCACCACCCACAUCCUUUCCUACGAGGUGCACUGGCCAGAACUAUCCAUGCUUGGUGGGCACCAAGGCAGCCACGGUUCCAAACGGCCCCAGGCUUGUGGGGGUCACCGCGACACCCUCUGAGCUCUCGCUCUGUCCCUUCUCAGGGCACCAGGAAGGGGGCCGCCCUCCACCACCUCCUUGGGGCUGGGAGGGACACAGGACUGUCCCCCCACCUGUUCUUGCUCGGCCCCCAGGGAAACACCUGGGCUCUCCUUCCGGGUCCUCGGCCGGACGGGCUGGGCCUGGAGCAGAGCCUCUGUCCUCGGGUUCCAAGCUCCUCUCUUAGUGAGCCGGCCUCCCCCACCCCUCCCGCUCCCUUUGAGAAGCCUCUGCGUCUCCUACUCAGGCCUGUCGCCCGUCCCUUCUGUCCUCCCUGGACAUCAGUCCCUGUCCCAGGGCAGUGCCACACCUCAGCCCUCCCCCGCCUGGGCCGUCCCCGCCCUGGGGGGUGUGGCGCCCACACUUCUGACCGGGGCCCUUCAGAGCUUAGUCCGUUGACUGCUCAGCACUUGCCUUCGAGACGGUUGUCUCUGUAUGGAAAGGAAUCGAUUUUUAAUCUUAGCCAAGAACUCGCCCCCCCCCCGCCCCCCGCCCCGUGUCUCCAGGUUCUUUCUGUUUUCUGGGCAUGGUCUGCACCGCUGAGCUCAUCGGAAGAGGGUCCGAACUGGGUCACAACAAGGAAACAUGUGAAAAAAGCCAACGUUUACCCUGACACAAGAAUACCAUUACACUGAGUCUCUUUGAUUUGAGGUGAUUAACCAACCAGACUUUGGGGGAAAGUCGAUGAAAUUAGAUUAUGUGGGGAGCAAGGAAAAGUCAUGGGCUAAGGGCCAGCGCGGAGUCGCUUAGCCUCUCGUGGCCUCAACUUUGUCACCUGGAACACGGGUUGGACCAGGUGAUUGUUCUGGACUGUUCCAGCUCGCAGUCCCGUGAUGCUAGGAUUCAGGCCAAGAACCACGAAGACUGGAACGAACCCAGCUUUCCAAUCGUGCUGAACGGACCCCCCCCCCUUCUUUAAACUGACGGUCUUCUCUUCAGCUUCUAAUUCGGAUCAUUUCUGUAAUUGUUCCAUGAAUUAAGUUGACAAGGGUCCUGGGGUGACAGCUCGACCCCAAGUCAACAUCCGAGUGUGACAGGAAAGCAAUCAUGGGCUUUGAAGUUAGACCAGGGUUAUUGUCUGGAGGUUUCAACUGAAAAUAACUAAUCAAUUCUUGAGUGAUAGUGGCUUUGGCCACAUGGACAUUUGCUGCUCACUCAACAAGAAGUCUGGAGGGGAGUUCUCAUGGUGGCGCAGCAGAAACAAAUCCGACUAGGAACCAUGAGGUUGCGGGUUCGAUCCCUGGCCUUGCUCAGUGGUUUAAGGAUCCGGCGUUGCCAGAGCUAUGGUGUGGGUCACAGACACGGCUUAGAUUUGGUGUUGCUGUGGCUCUGGUGUAAGCCAGUGGCUACAGCUCUGAUUCAACCCCUAGCCUGGGAACCUCCAUAUGCUGUGGGUGUGGCCCUAAAAGGACAAGGGAAAAAAAAAAGUCUGGAGGUAGGAGGUCCUGAGGUUGGUUUGACAGCCCACCAUGUCCUCCUGGCCCUGAGCACCUGCCAGGCUUCCACUGCAAAUUCAGCUGGUUGGCUUCAUUCUUAUUACCUCAUGGAUCCAAAAAGGCUGCCCCAGGCACACAGCUUACCAUCCCACAGCUAGUCCACAGGCAGGAAGGAAAGGCAGAGUGUACAAAGGGGAUUGUCCUUGAACUGUCCUCCCCUUUCUAUCAGGGAGAAAGUCUUCCAGAAGCUCCUGCUCCCCCAUCUCAUUUGCCAGAAUGCUUACCCCCUACCAACAGUGUCAAAGGCAGACAGGAUUCUUGUGACCAGCCAAGGCCAGACGGAAGGCAGUCCUCUGGGGCCGGCAGGAUUGCCGUAAAAAUCAGAUGCCAUUGGCACAGAAAGAGAGGCUGGCAGCUCAUGGGAUCCACACCCCCUGUUUUCAAAUUUGGGCUUCAUUUAGGAGUUCCUGUUGUGGCUCAGUGGGUUAAGAACCCAACUUGAGUUCAAUCCCUGGUCUUGCUUAGGGGGUUAAGGAUCCAGCAUUGCCACAAGCUGCAGCAUAGAGUGCAGAUGUGGCUUGGAUCCUGUGAUGCUGUGGCUGUGGUGUAGGAUGGCAUCUGUAGCUCCAGUUCAACCCCUAGCCUGGGAACUUCCAUAUGCCACGGGUAUGGCCCUAAAAAGAAAAAAAAA